CUACUACUCCCUCCGUCCAAAAAUACUUGUCAUUGAAAUGGAUGUAUCUAGAUGUAUUUUAGUUCUAGACACAUCCAUUUUGAUGACAAGUAAUUCCGGAUAGAGGGAGUAUUAU
rnacentral:pre_miRNA from 1 species